AAGUAAAUGUAUGGCAAGUUUCAAACAGCCAGCACACAUUACUAAUUGACAGUUACUUAGUGAUUUACAGGAGACAUCUUGUUAGCUUUGGUACAGAGCCAAACGGUACCCACAUCACUGAAACAAUCUCAGCUGGCUUUUGGACAUGGCUAUCAGACUCUCUUUCCUACUGUCCCCAAUUUAGGAAAGCAUCAUUAUUCAUCAAAGUACUUAGGCCACACACUUAAUUUUAAGCAUGUGCUUUCCUCAGAAAAGAUGUGCUUAAACAUGUGCUAGGGAUUUAAAGAUGUGCUAGUGCUAUUUGUGGAAUUGCUCCUUCCAGGAAUGGCAUGCAUAUGAAGGCAAUAUGGGAAGCUUUGACUGCCAAGAUGAAGUCUUGGUAGCUCGGGGUGAGCUACGGAUUUGAGUCCUCAGACCAGCUAAAAUGACACCUCGCAGAAGCACUUUAAAGAAAGGAACUGAUACCUGAAGAUAGCAUUCAUUAGUAACGAGACAUUGUGUUCAGUCAGAUAGUUGAAAUGCUUUCAGUAAUUUUGCCAAAAGAAUACAAACAUUGAUCCACGUGAUUAAGUCUGAAGUGAGGGUGGCAGUGGGAACCAAAGCGUAUGUAGGAUGAAGCAGUGAGUACUUUUAAAUAUUGUCAUCCCUUUAGAGAAUGAGAGAAUGUGUAGGCUUGCCAUUAUGAUAUGGAGAAGAGGUAAGUUGAGCUAGUCAGGAAUGCCACUCAAACAGAGGAAAUGACAUCUAAUACUUUAUAUUGUUUAGCAGAUACACAUUGAUAUGUAUCUCCUGGGAACUGAUCUUCCAGUGUUGCUACUCCAGUCUGUGAUUGCCUAGCAGCAAGAAUGAAGAAUGUAUUUAAGUAUAAUUAAAAAAAAAAGCAAAAAUUCAAAACUCCAUUUCAACUUAUUGUGUUUCCUGUUGUCCAACACCUUUCCUGAGGCUAGUAAUAAACCAGGAAUUGACGCUGCUGUAUUUGACUUGAAAGGGACGCAGACACAAGCAGACCAAUGAAAGCAGAGGAGAAGCUAUCGUCACUGGAGGAGAGAGAAAAGCCCUGCCUGAAGCCCUGUCGGCAGAGAGGAAGCAGCUGAAGGUUUGUCAGAAGCAGAGAUGCUGUCCCCUUGGCAUUUCUGCCAGUUCUACAGAGGUUUAACUCAGCACUUCCUCCCCUUCAGCUGCCCUUGGCCACUCCUGGCCGACCACCUUGGAAGAUUGUUUUGCUUCCCUCGGCUGCUCUCUGCAAACUGCAGACAGCAGAGUCUGUUUUUUUGCCAGGGAAUACGACUCACAUGAGCAGAAAAAUUGAGCCCUGUGCCAUUAUUGCUUCCUGCCAGAACCUCAGUUGCAAAUACUGCUCCCUCUGCUGUGAUUUUAGGUAAUCAUAGCAGGAGAGUCGAGCAAGAGCUCCUUUCUACUACUAUUAUUUAAGGGUUGGAACUAGAUAAUCUUUAAGCUCUCUUCCAACUCAAGCCCUUCUAUGAUUCUACUUUUCUCAUAUAAGAUGAUAUUACUAAAAACAACUGCAUGUAAAAGCCCUGACUAAGGACAGUCUGCAUUGUGCUAGGAGGCAUAAAAUAAAACAGUACUUA